UACGUAGGGUGCAAGCGUUGUCCGGAAUUAUUGGGCGUAAAGAGCUCGUAGGUGGCCUGUCGCGUCGGCUGUGAAAACUCGGGGGCUCAACUCCGAGCUUGCAGUCGAUACGGGGCAGGGCUAGAGUUCGGUAGGGGGAGACUGGAAUUCCUGGUGUAGCGGUGAAAUGCGCAGAUAUCAGGAGGAACACCGAUGGCGAAGGCAGGUCUCUGGGCCGAUACUGACGUGAGGAGCGAAAGCGUGGGGGAGCGAAACAGG
rnacentral:rRNA from 1 species